AUUGACCGCUGGCGGCAUGCCUUACACAUGCAAGUCGAACGGCAGCACGGGAGCAAUCCUGGUGGCGAGUGGCGAACGGGUGAGUAAUAUAUCGGAACGUGCCCAGUCGUGGGGAUAACGUAGCGAAAGCUACGCUAAUACCGCAUACGAUCUAUGGAUGAAAGCGGGGGAUCGCAAGACCUCGCGCGAUUGGAGCGGCCGAUAUCAGAUUAGGUAGUUGGUGAGGUAAAGGCUCACCAAGCCGACGAUCUGUAGCUGGUCUGAGAGGACGACCAGCCACACUGGGACUGAGACACGGCCCAGACUCCUACGGGAGGCAGCAGUGGGGAAUUUUGGACAAUGGGCGCAAGCCUGAUCCAGCAAUGCCGCGUGCAGGAUGAAGGCCUUCGG
rnacentral:rRNA from 1 species